rnacentral:tRNA from 1 species
GUGGACGUAGCUCAAAGGUAGAGCGUUGGGUUGUGGCCCCAAAUGUUACGGAUUCGAGUUCCGUCGUCCACCCCA